CAUGUUAGAAGCUAUGCUUUUCUAAAAUAACAAAACAAAACAAAGGAAAAACAUCUUUUUGUUCUCUUCCUAGUUCUAUCAAGUGCUGGCUUUCGAUUCCAGUCUGACUUCACUACCACAGGAGCUUCUUGCUCAGGCUUCUGUUCCGGCUCCAUUCUCUCCCUGCCAUUAUAAUGCCAUCCACUGCAGCACCAUCUCUUCAAUCACUCUACAGAAAUGCAAAUUGCUGCCUUCAGAAGGAAGCACACGGG
rnacentral:lncRNA from 1 species